GGGGAAAAUUCAGCCGGGGAGCCGCCGCAUUCCGGGAGGGACUGGAGCCCAGACAACGGCCUCUCGCCUGUGAGGAUUUCCCGUCGGCACCGCUGUGGAUGCUGCCCAAGCCUCCCCCAAGGAGAGCUGACUGAGGAGUCCCAGUGAUGCCGGUUGGCGGAGGAAGAGAUGAAUUUCAGAGCCUUUGGAUCUCAGCUGAAGAUUCCAGAUUCUGAUGUUUCAGCUGCUGAAGCAUUUGAAAGCUGAGAUGUGAUAAAUAGAAGAAAAAACAUUUCCCUGUUCAUCCUUUGGAUAUAUCGGUUAAUAUUGUUGUUGUUGUAAAGUCAAGAUAAGAUGAAUCUUCUG